AGGGCACUACCAGGAGUGGAUCCUGCGGCUCAAUUUGACUCAACACGGGAAAGCUCACCUGGUCCGGACACUGGAAGGAUUGACAGAUUAAGAGCUCUUUCUUGAUUCAGUGGGUGGUGGUGCAUGGCCGUUCUUAGUUGGUGGAGCGAUUUGUCUGGUUAAUUCCGAUAACGAACGAGACUCUAGCCUACUAAAUAGGUGUUCCGAUCCCAUCAGUCGGACGCUCUUCUUAGAGGGACAAGCGGCGUUUAGCCGCACGAGACAGAGCAAUAACAGGUCUGUGAUGCCCUUAGAUGUCCGGGGCCGCACGCGCGCUACACUGAAGGAACCAGCGUGUGUCCCUGUCCGGCAGGACUGGGUAAUCCGUUGAACCUCCUUCGUGAUAGGGAUAGGGGCUUGUAAUUGUUCCCCUUGAACGAGGAAUUCCCAGUAAGCGUGAAUCAUCAGUUCACGUUGAUUACGUCCCUGGCCUUUGUACACACCGCCCCGUCGCUACUACUGAUUGGAUGAUUUUAGUGA
rnacentral:rRNA from 1 species